rnacentral:rRNA from 1 species
UACGGAGGAUGCAAGCGUUAUCCGGCCUGAUUGGGCGUAAAACGUCCGCAGGUGGUUGUGUGUGUCUAUUGUCAAAGCAUCAUGCUUAACAUGAUAAAGGCAGUAGAAACUACACGACUAGAGUGCGUUCGGGGCAGAGGGAAUUCCUGGUGUAGCGGUGAAAUGCGUAGAGAUCAGGAAGAACACCGGUGGCGAAAGCGCUCUGCUAGGCCGCAACUGACACUGAGGGACGAAAGCUAGGGGAGCGAAGGGG